UACAGAUGGAGUUGUAGCGUGUGCU
rnacentral:piRNA from 1 species